GGGUUUGGGGUCACCCCCCCCCCUUGACGAAAGGAUUUUGCCCAUAAAAGAUCAUAAAACCUCAUAAUAGUCCUAACUGUAUAAAUGUACAUUAUUGUGAUUAUUAAUUUGCUUUUCGCAUAGUCAAAUUCUUCAGACCGGUAAAUCCAGUGAACAUUCGCAUAGUGUAUGAUGACAACGGGCGGCCAAGUGGAGAGGCGGAUGUAGAAUUUGCAUCUCACGACGACGCACUGCGAGCCAUGUCUAAAGACAAGAGUCACAUGCAACAUCGCUACAUCGAACUCUUCCUCAACUCCACCCCAGGCGGUGGCGGAUAUGGGAUGGGGAGCAAAUUCCGAGGUGGUGGAUAUUCAAACAGCAGCAGCAACAAUCUAGGUUUUAAGUACAGCUCUUUUUGAAUGUAAUUCAUUUCUAAAAUAAGGGUAUAAUAACACUAAUUAUUAAAGUGAUUUGUUCGGAUUGUAACAGUCUAGCACAAUAGAGAUCGGUGGCUACAGGGUCCGUAGUGUUGUUCUGUAACGUGAAACUAACUUCAAGUUUUUCUCUUUUGUCCAAUCAUUGAAGACUAGAUCAAUUAACUGUUGCCGAGACAGUUUGUAUAUUUCGUAUUAACUCAAAUGUGUUUUAGUUUUAAUCUUUUCUUUUUUUACUAUGUGGAUUUUUGUUGUGAUCACUUAAAAAUAAAUCUUGUCAUAAGUA